rnacentral:pre_miRNA from 1 species
GGGUCUUCCUCAGUAGGAUGAGAAUGAUUUCUUUAUUUUAUUUUAUAAGAUUGUCCAUGAAGAAGAUUUAUCUAAAAUAAAGAAAUCAUUCUCAGCCCACUGAGGAAGACCC